GCGCAAAUUGUAUCAAUUAUUAAAGAUUGUAUUUUUUAUUUUUUUAUUUUUUCAAAGAAAAAGAUGAGAACGAUGCAAAAAUCCCCAAAGAUUCAACGGUUGAAUAUGGCACAGAUGAAACCCGUUUAAUUUCAUCUUUUGAGAUCCAAGGGCACAAAUGAUAGAUCUCUCUCUCUCAUCGGCGAUAUAACCCUAAUUUAGCGAGAGAGUCACCAAGUUUCUCCAUGGGCGAACCCAAGAUAUCAGAGCUUGAUACUGUGGUCAAAGAGGAAGGGUAGUUAUUCGAGGUCAAAUAUUUCUCCAAGAAUAAGACAUUUGUCUUCUGGAACAUGGACGACUACCCAAUCCCUGAAGGUGUCGCUCCUCUUGAGGUUAUCGAUAAUAUCAAAUCAGUUCUUCAUCGGUUGGGCUUUCCUUGGUGGUUGAUUGAGAUCAGGGCGUACGGUGACGACCAAAGUUAUGACCUUUGCAGUGCCGGAAUAUACGGUGAGUACCUCAUAACCGUAUUAUAUGUAUGUAACUGCUUACAUCUCACUCUUUUCAGGGGUAAAAUUUCUGGUGCUAUCAAAUUUCCUAUAGAGCUAAUUGAUAUCGCAACAUUGAAGUUUCGUGAACCAUUAAAUUUUGUUGUAAUUGCCAAACAUACCCCCCAAAGUCAGCUGCGCAGGGUUCUUGACAGUUUGAAAUCGAGAAAUAACGUUGUGGCCUCUGUUGAGCUGCCUGAUAGCGCCGCACUGAGUUCUAUUGAGUCACUUGUGAAUUCGAUAAAAGUUUUUGGUGGAAUCCAAAGGCCAUUAUGUCGAGAUGUUGGAGAGCGAGCUGAUGUGGAUGUUUUUAGGUGGACGAUAGCCUAUAGGCCCUUCUCUACUAACAAGGAGGAUGGUUACUCAUGUGAUUGGUCAUUCUAUCUUUGAUAUUUUUGUUUUAUGUCAUAAGUUGUUCGGUUAUUCUAUGUUGUUUCAUCUUUCAUCUGUUAAACGCUGUUUUGUGUUCAAAUUAGUUGCUGUUUUCUUCCAUUACCA